AGAGCAGGUUUGCCUUCGCCUUCACAAUUCGCACCACAUUAUUGUCUUGUGUUGCCCGCAACCCAAAGCGGAUCAAACCCUAGAUCUCGUCCCCGUUCCUCCGAUCCUCAUGGAUUCCUCCUCCUCCUCGUCCAGCCUGAGCCAGCAGCCCGAGUUCGAUUACCUCUUCAAGCUGCUGCUUAUCGGCGACUCCGGCGUCGGCAAGAGCAGCCUCCUCCUCCGUUUCACCGCCGACUCCUUUGAGGACCUUUCCCCCACCAUAGGUGUUGACUUCAAGGUGAAGAUGGUUACCAUUGGUGGCAAAAAACUCAAGCUUGCCAUCUGGGACACAGCCGGACAAGAGAGAUUUAGGACCUUGACCAGCUCUUACUACAGAGGGGCACAGGGGGUUAUUAUGGUGUAUGAUGUCACUCGGCGGGAAACGUUUACUAAUCUUUCUGAUAUAUGGGCGAAGGAAAUUGACCUGUAUUCAACCAACCAGGACUGUAUAAAGAUGCUUGUUGGAAAUAAAGUAGAUAAGGAAAGUGAGAGAGCUGUGACAAAAAAGGAGGGGAUUGAAUUUGCUAGGGAAUACGGUUGUUUGUUUCUAGAAUGCAGUGCGAAAACAAAAGUAAAUGUAGAACAGUGCUUUGAGGAACUUGUGCUAAAGAUAUUAGACACGCCAAGCCUCCUCGCUGAUGCUUCGUCUGGGGCCAAGAAGAACAUCUUCAAGCAGAAGCCUCCGGAAGCCGAUGCCGCUGCAAGCAGCUGCUGUUAACAUGCUUUUGCCAUGCUAAUUCCGCGUCCUCCCGUGGAUGAUGACGAUGAUAUCUUUGUUUGGUGUGUCGGUUUAUUGUUUCUUCUUCUUUUGGUCCUGUAUAUGCUGAAUUUAUUACACCCACACAUAACUGUACGUUGGCAGCAGCUAUAUAAUAUAUCGUUUUUUGUUGUUUCUUUUUGUUUUGUUUAAAAGAGAGAGAGAGAGAAUAGUAUAUGUUUUGUUUUGUUUCCGUGCUCCAGUUGAGAGAGAGAGAGAGAGAGAAAUGAAGAUAUUUGAGAGGAGUAUGGAUGGAUUCACGGGUGGGCAAGGGCAAGGGAAGAGGCCAGGCCAUCGCAGGCAACACCCGUGCCGUGUGUCGUGUCGUGCGAGGUCACGGGUCACUCCAGCCAAAAAACAGAUGAUGAUGAUGAUGAUGUGCCAUGCUGCGGGGCAACAAGAAACUGAACACCACGGAAAUCCAAGGACCAGCCAGCGCCCGCCCUCGUCCCUUUUGUAUGUAUGUGCUCCCUCUCUCCCUCCCUCCCUUUGCCAUUUGCCGAUUUGGGCAGCAGCAAUGACACUUCCCUGCGCCGGCGGCUGCGAGAUCCAAGCCAGCGGCAUUAACUACCGCAUCGCCGUCUCCACCCGACCUCUCAAGGUCUGGAGCAGAUCAGACGACGACGUCCAUUCCCAAGACCACCACAGCGUCGUCCGCCAGGUGCUCCGGGACGUCUCCUGCCGCGCGCGCCCCGGCGAGCUGCUCGCCAUCGUCGGCCCCAGCGGCGCCGGCAAGUCCACCCUGCUCGAGAUCCUCGCGGGGCGCCUCUCCCCGUCCCCGCCGCCCCACCUGCUACGCAUCGACGGCGCCGCCGCCCACAGCGCCGACCUCCGCCGCGUCUCCGCCUACGUCACCCAGCAGGACGUCCUCUUCCCGCUGCUCACCGUGCGCGAGACGCUGCUCUUCAGCGCGCGCCUCCGCCUAGGCGCGCGCCUGCCCUCCAAGGACAUGCACGCCCGCGUCGAGGCGCUCCUCGACGACCUCACCCUGCGCCGCGUCGCCGCCACCAGGAUCAAGGACCUCUCCGGCGGAGAGCGCAGGCGCGUCUCCAUCGGCGUCGAGGCCGUGCGUGACCCGCCCGUGCUCAUCCUCGACGAGCCCACCUCCGGCCUCGACAGCGCCUCCGCGCUCCACAUCGUCGGCGCGCUCCGCGCCAUGGCCGAGGCGCGUGGACGCACCGUGCUGCUCAGCAUCCACCAGCCGGGAGCGCGCAUCGUCAAGAUGUUCGACUCCGUCCUCCUGCUAGCCGCCGGCUCCGUCCUCCACCAUGGCACCGUCGACCAGCUCCGCGCCCUGCUCGGGGACGCGGGCCUUCACCUGCCCCCGCACGUCGAUGACGUCGAGUUCGCCAUCGACUCCGUGGACGCGCUUCGCCGCCACGCCAGCAGCAGCCUGCAGGCGCCGUCCUCCGGAGACCGAGAGGGCCGGUGCACGCUGCAGCGUCUGUUCCAGCUGCACGGCAAGCAGGUGGCGGACGCCCCCGUGGCCGUGACCAUGAUGGCUAGCCGCUACGCCAACUCGCGGGCGCGGGAGGUGGCGGUGCUGUCGCAGCGCUUCUUCAAGAACGUGGCGCGGACGCGGCAGCUCUUCGCGUGCCGCACCGUGUGCAUGCUGGUGGCGGGCCUUGCGCUGGGCUCCAUCUUCUACGACCUCGGGCAGGACAAGGUGGCGGAGCGCGUGGGUCUCUUCGCCUUCCUGCUCACCUUCCUCCUGUCAUCCACAACGGAGGCGCUGCCCAUCUUCCUGCAGGAGCGCGACAUCCUGGCCAGGGAGACGGCGUCGGGGGCGUACCGCGUGUCGUCGUACGCGGUGGCCAACGCGGUGGUGUUCCUGCCCUUCCAGCUGGCGCUGGCCGUCGUGUUCGCGGCGCCGGUGUACUGGCUGGCGGGUCUCCGUCGAACGGCGGCGGCGUUCGGCUACUUCCUGCUGGUGAUAUGGCUGAUCCUGUACACAGCGAACUCGGUGGUGGUGUGCUUCGCGGCGGCGGCGCCGGACUUCGUGGUGGGGAACGCGGCGAUCCAGGGGGUGAUGGGCUCCUUCUUCCUCUUCUCGGGCUACUUCAUCGCGCGGUCGGCGAUGCCCGGGUGCUGGGUGUUCAUGCACUACCUGUCGUUGUUCAAGUGGCCGUUCGAGGCGCUGCUGGUGAACGAGUUCGCCGGCGGCGGGAGGUGCGUGGUGCGGGCGCUGGGCGAGUGCGUGGCGACUGGGGACGAGGUGCUGCGGCGCGAGGGGCUCGGGGAAGAGUGCAGGUGGCGCAACGUGGGCGUCAUGGUGGCCUUCAUGGCGGCCUACAGGGUGUUGGGCUACGCCGUGCUGAGGGUGAGGUGCAGCCUCGCGCUCAACAAGAAGGGGGCCGUGGCCGCCGGACCACCUGGCCUCGGCCUCAGCCGCCGCCUGAGAAGACAGCUAGCCAUCAUCGGCACCGCUGCGUGGCCCUCGCCAUCGUCUUCUUCCACCCCCUCGCUCCCUGUUAAUUAAAUUAAAUUAAAUUAAAUUAAAUUAAAUGGCAACCAAAUACACUAGUGUAUGUGUGCUUACUUGUUUUGUUCGGUGAUUCGUACGGAGUGCUUACUUAAUAUUGUAUUGUAUUAUACUUGGAGUAGGAAGUAUGGUAUCCAAAGAUAGCAUCUGUUCCAAUACAUCUUGUAAUCAGACUCUGCUCUAACUCGUACCAACAUGCUGAGAUGUCCCAAGGCAUGGCAUUGUGGAAUCUAUAAACUCUCCGACUAUAACUAUAUAUAUGCUUAUUUUGUAUGGUA